UCGUUACAAGUUCCUUUUUGCACCUCAUUUUCUAGUGCCUGUGGCGACAUAUCUCGUGGGGAUUAUGUGGGGAAACGACAAGCUGAGGUUGUCCACAUGUUAGAGCGUGCUCCUCAUCAGAGCUGGAGUCAUUGUUGCCUCAUACAGGGAGUGCCAUUUCGACAUUCUCCGGUCUGCGUGUCAGCUUGUGGCCAUCAUCUGCGAAGCUCAUAGGCUGGUCCUGACCCAGGUCUUCAUUCACAACAAAGGUCUCUCUUUUCAAGCCGUCACCAGCAUGUACUAUAUAGCUCCCUGCAGCCUUGCGUUUCUGGUUGUCCCAUGGUGUAUCAUGGAAAUGCCCAACAUGAAACUGUCCGAGUUUCAGGACUAGUUGAACUUCUGGAUCUUUAUCACCAAUGCCGCCUGCACUCUGGUUUUAAACUUUGGCUCCUUCAUAGUCAUCAAAAGAACGAGUGCUGUCACAUAUCAGGUUGUAAGAAUAGACUUUGCCUCCUUCGUAGUCAUCGAAAAAACGAGUGCUGUCACAUAUCAGGUUGUAAGAAUAGACUUUACCUCCUUCGUAGUCAUCGAAAAAACGAGUGCUGUCACAUAUCAGUGGACAAGUCAAGGACUGCAUCGUUGUCUGCCUCUCGACUUUCAUGUUUUUCAUGUUAGCCGAGCCCCUCAACAUAAUGGGCUACACAAUUGGUCUAGGCGGAGUCGUGAUGUACCAUUGCUUGACUAAUCGAGAAAUCCAAGGAGCUAAGACACUGUCCGAUGGUUUUCCUACUCCCAAAAGAACUGCAAGGGUAUCUGAUUUCUUUGUCAGAAUCAUGUAACUAGUUUACUUCAACGACUCUCUUUUUUAAUCCUCAUCCUUCUCAUGUACAAUCAUCGAUAAAGACUAAAAGUUAGAGAGGUCUUCCAGAGUGUGGAGCAGCAACCCGAGAGGAUUAAGCUACAAAGAAGAGGAAAGUCCAUUGAAGAGACCAGUCAUGCAGCAUCAACGACAUUUUCUCAUAUCGGCCAUGCUUCAACAAGCUGAGCAUCCUAUCAGUCGACCUCUAUGACCUAUCCAAAGAUCUGUCUUCCCCAUGGGCAUUAAACUGCGGUGGUUCGAAUUUGUUUUAGUUUCAGGAGAUAUGGAAA